ensembl:lncRNA
CUGCAGCAGUGUAACACUGAUGACAUAAAUAACCGACGCACAGCGGUAAAGGGUGAGUGUGUGAACGGUUGUGUCACUGUGCUCGGUCUCCUGUACAAAGUUUCUCUGGGUGACCGUAAAGCCUGAAGCUGCGUGCGCGCGGAAUUAACGGGAAGAGCGGUCGCGUUAAGCCUCUGCACGGAGCCCACGCGCGGAUUGUCCUCCAUCACAGCGCGCUGCUCAGACCCCCGACGCGCUUUCCCGGAGAAACCAUGUCCUUUCUCAGGUCUGUCUCAGACAUGGAAUGGAGCUCCAGAACGUAUGCCAGUAACUACAGCUGUGAGUGAAUCUUCAUUUAUUCAUAGUGGAAAACUUCGCAGUCUCGCCCGAGACAUUUCUGAAAUCAGCCACGAGAAAGCCACAAGCCGAGAUGAUGCAGGAAAACCUGCUGGGGAAUCGGAUAAGCCCCGCCCAUGUCCGAGAG